UUCUCCACCAUCAGUUUAAUUCCACCCUUCGAAUCAACAAGACAAGAUGGAGAAGUAAUUCAUAGUGAUUGGCAGAAUAAUCGGAAUGAGCGAAUACGGCUUGAGCCAACGGGAGAUAUCGAGGAGACUUGGGUGUAUGUCGUGAAAUCUACUUGGUUGCGGAGAUGGGAGGAGGAAGGAGAAGAUUUAGAAGAUAGAAGGAAAGGAGGCAAUCACCCAAGAGGCACCACGGAAAACGAAGAUCAAUCUAUUGUGCAAACAUGUGAAACCAACCCUCACCUUAACGCACAACAAAUUGAAGAACGAUUGAACAUCCAGGCCUCUAUGGACACUGUCAGAAGACUUCACCAGGCGGGGCUUCAUCACCACACCCCCGCCAUGACAGAUCAUCUGACACAACACAACGACACAAGGAUAUUCUUCAAUUUGCUGAAGAUUACCAAGAGAAAGAAUUCGAUUUCUGGGGAAGUUAUUUUUUUCCGACGAGAUCUUUUCCUCAGCAGGGCAUGGCAAACUGCACUGUUGAAGGAAUGGAACAAGUGUGAAAUUACGAUAUUGGAAAUUGGAAUUAUGAAAAUCAGCCAACACACUGACUGGCAGAGCAGAGUUCCUACCAUGAGUGGCACGGAGGGAGUUAUACCUCGUCCAGAGAUGACUUCUGUGCUGUUUCAGUAUCUGGAAGGUAUUUACAGAGAUCCUGAAACAAGUCUACAAAAUGAGCUGUGGCUGCCGAGAAGAGUGACUCACCAAUGGCUAGCUGAGAGAGGAAUGUUUCCGAGGUUUCUCACAAGCAUUAUAUCAUGGCGCUCUGUGGCCGUCCUGGCACUGACUGCAAGUCUGCUGCAGAUAACCAAUAUAGUCUUAACAUGGCAGUUGAAGCAAAGACACCUGCUUUAUGCACCCGAGGCUGCCGAGGUGGAGGAGACCAGCGGCCAGCUGGGCUCAAAGAGACACCACCAUCACCAUUCGGCCGACAGACGUGGACACUUCCACCUUGGCCCAAAGGUCUCAGAUGAUCACCAAGCAACACUGUCCCGCAUUGCUCACUGGAGUGUGCUGGACGGUUCUGGGGAGUUCCGCGUGUCAGGUGGAGUGCUGCGUGGGACGGCACAGUCCAUGGAUUGGGUGGAGCAGGACGAGGCUAGGCAUCAUGACCUCACCCUGGUCACCCAGUGUUCCUUGUCAAGGCUUCACAAGCUUCCACCUCUUGCUGUGCAUUGGCAGGGCCCAUUGUCCAUUGCAGUGUUUGUUCUGAGUGGGGAGGUGCAAGCAGCUGUCCAGACAUUCCACCUGCUUAGAAAGUGUUACCCGAGUGUGAAAGAAAACGUUACCUUCAGCCUGGUGUUUCCCCUCAACUCCCCCACCUCCCCUCACAUCAUCCCCACAGCAAACACCACUCCCUGCCACAAGAUCUUCUCUCCCGUGCACCAAGACAACUACAGCUUUAAUGGAGUGCAGUACCCCAACAACCUGCUGAGGAAUGUUGCCCGGAAAGCAACCACCACCAGUCACAUGAUGGUGGUUGAUGUUGACAUAACUCCUAACUCAGGACUCCAUAAAUCCUUCUUGUCAUUUGCAAAGAGAAAGGGUUUGUUUAAGAAGUUUAGUAAAGAAAAGACAGUGUGGGUGCUGCCAGCCUAUGAAGUGAAAAACGAUGCUGGUAUCCCUGAAACUAAGGAGCAGCUGUUGACAAUGAAGAAAAAAGAAAUUCACAGACUACCCAGCUUGGGAAAAGGAAAAGGCUGGACGCUCAGGAUUGUCGACAGCAUACGAGGUACUCUGGCAGAGCACAUAUGAACCUUUCUAUAUUGCCAGCACCAAGAUACCUCUCUACGAUGAAAGGUUCAGGCAGUACGGCUUCAACAGGAUCAGCCAAGACAUUCAUACACCACUGUGCUCACUGAGAAGUCAGUGAGAUCCUUUUUUUCAUGCAAUAAUAUGCAUGAAAAAGCAGAGCAC
rnacentral:misc_RNA from 1 species